AGUGAACGCUGGCGGCAGGCCUAACACAUGCAAGUCGAGCGGCAGCGGGUCCCCGCGAGGGGAUGCCGGCGAGCGGCGGACGGGUGAGGAACACAUCGGAAUCUGCCUGGUUGUGGGGGAUAACGUAGGGAAACUUACGCUAAUACCGCAUGCGACCCUGAGUCGACGGACUGGGGGUGAAAGUGAGGGACCUUCGGGCCUCACGCGACCAGAUGAGCCGAUGUCGGAUUAGCUAGUUGGCGGGGUAACGGCCCGCCAAGGCGACGAUCCGUAGCUGGUCUGAGAGGAUGAUCAGCCACACUGGGACUGAGACACGGCCCAGACUCCUACGGGAGGCAGCAGUGGGAA
rnacentral:rRNA from 1 species